rnacentral:rRNA from 1 species
UGAGGAAUAUUGGUCAAUGGACGAGAGUCUGAACCAGCCAAGUAGCGUGAAGGAUGACUGCCCUAUGGGUUGUAAACUUCUUUUAUACGGGAAUAAAGUGAGGCACGUGUGCCUUUUUGUAUGUACCGUAUGAAUAAGGAUCGGCUAACUCCGUGCCAGCAGCCGCGGUAAUACGGGGGGUGCAAGCGUUGUUCGGAAUCAUUGGGCGUAAAGCGCGCGCAGGCGGCUUGGUAAGUCAGAUGUGAAAUCCCUGGGCUUAACCCAGGAAGUGCAUUUGAUACUGCCUCGCCAGAGUACGGGAGAGGAAAGUGGAAUUCCUGGUGUAGAGGUGAAAUUCGUAGAUAUCAGGAGGAACACCGGUGGCGAAGGCGACUUUCUGGCCCUAUACUGACGCUGAGACGCGAGAGCGUGGGUAGCAAACA